AUUGAACGCUGGCGGCAGGCCUAACACAUGCAAGUCGAGCGGAUGAAGGGAGCUUGCUCCUGGAUUCAGCGGCGGACGGGUGAGUAAUGCCUAGGAAUCUGCCUGGUAGUGGGGGAUAACGUCCGGAAACGGGCGCUAAUACCGCAUACGUCCUGAGGGAGAAAGUGGGGGAUCUUCGGACCUCACGCUAUCAGAUGAGCCUAGGUCGGAUUAGCUAGUUGGUGGGGUAAAGGCCUACCAAGGCGACGAUCCGUAACUGGUCUGAGAGGAUGAUCAGUCACACUGGAAAUGAGACACGGUCCAGACUCCUAGGGGGGGGAGCAGUGGGGAAUAUUGGAAAGGGGGCGAAAGCCUGAACCAGCCAAGCCGCGUGUGUGAAGAAGGUCUUCGGAUUGUAAAGCCCUUUAAGUUGGGAGGAAGGGCAGUAAGUUAAAACCUUUCUGUUUUGGCGUUACCAAAAAAAUAAGCACCGGCUAACUUCGG
rnacentral:rRNA from 1 species